rnacentral:rRNA from 1 species
GAUGAACGCUGGCGGCGUGCCUAAUACAUGCAAGUCGAGCGAACAGAUGAGGAGCUUGCUCCUCUGACGUUAGCGGCGGACGGGUGAGUAGCACGUGGAUAACCUACCUAUAAGACUGGGAUAACUUCGGGAAACCGGAGCUAAUACCGGAUAAUAUAUUGAACCGCAUGGUUCAAUAGUGAAAGACGGUUUUGCUGUCACUUAUAGAUGGAUCCGCGCCGCAUUAGCUAGUUGGUAAGGUAACGGCUUACCAAGGCAACGAUGCGUAGCCGACCUGAGAGGGUGAUCGGCCACACUGGAACUGAGACACGGUCCAGACUCCUACGGGAGGCAGCAGUAGGGAAUCUUCCGCAAGGGGCGAAAGCCUGACGGAGCAACGCCGCGUGAGUGAUGAAGGUCUUCGGAUCGUAAAACUCUGUUAUUAGGGAAGAACAAAUGUGUAAGUAACGAUGCACGUCUUGACGGUACCUAAUCAGAAAGCCACGGCUAACUACGU